CGCUAGCUACAGGCUUAACACAUGCAAGUCGAGGGGCAGCAUGAAGUUUGCUUGCAAACUUUGAUGGCGACCGGCGCACGGGUGAGUAACACGUAUCCAACCUGCCGAUAACUCGGGGAUAGCCUUUCGAAAGAAAGAUUAAUACCCGAUGGCAUGGAAAGUCCGCAUGGUCUUUCCAUUAAAGAACUUCGGUUAUCGAUGGGGAUGCGUUCCAUUAGAUAGUAGGCGGGGUAACGGCCCACCUAGUCAACGAUGGAUAGGGGUUCUGAGAGGAAGGUCCCCCACAUUGGAACUGAGACACGGUCCAAACUCCUACGGGAGGCAGCAGUGAGGAAUAUUGGUCAAUGGACGAGAGUCUGAACCAGCCAAGUAGCGUGAAGGAUGACUGCCCUAUGGGUUGUAAACUUCUUUUAUACGGGAAUAAAGUGUUCCACGUGUGGAAUUUUGUAUGUACCGUAUGAAUAAGGAUCGGCUAACUCCGUGCCAGCAGCCGCGGUAAUACGGAGGAUCCGAGCGUUAUCCGGAUUUAUUGGGUUUAAAGGGAGCGUAGGUGGAAGAUUAAGUCAGCCUGUGAAAGUUUGCGGCUCAACCGUAAAAUUGCAGUUGAUACUGGUUUUCUUGAGUGCAGUAGAGGUGGGCGGAGUUCGUGGUGUAGCGGUGAAAUGCUUAGAUAUCA
rnacentral:rRNA from 1 species